rnacentral:rRNA from 1 species
UACGAAGGGGGCUAGCGUUGCUCGGAAUCACUGGGCGUAAAGGGUGCGUAGGCGGGUCUUUAAGUCAGGGGUGAAAUCCUGGAGCUCAACUCCAGAACUGCCUUUGAUACUGAGGAUCUUGAGUCCGGGAGAGGUGAGUGGAACUGCGAGUGUAGAGGUGAAAUUCGUAGAUAUUCGCAAGAACACCAGUGGCGAAGGCGGCUCACUGGCCCGGUACUGACGCUGAGGUGCGAAAACGUGGGGAGCAAACAGG